rnacentral:rRNA from 1 species
GACGAGUGGCGGACGGGUGAGUAAUGUCUGGGAAACUGCCUGAUGGAGGGGGAUAACUACUGGAAACGGUAGCUAAUACCGCAUAACGUCGCAAGACCAAAGAGGGGGACCUUCGGGCCUCUUGCCAUCGGAUGUGCCCAGAUGGGAUUAGCUAGUAGGUGGGGUAACGGCUCACCUAGGCGACGAUCCCUAGCUGGUCUGAGAGGAUGACCAGCCACACUGGAACUGAGACACGGUCCAGACUCCUACGGGAGGCAGCAGUGGGGAAUAUUGCACAAUGGGCGCAAGCCUGAUGCAGCCAUGCCGCGUGUAUGAAGAAGGCCUUCGGGUUGUAAAGUACUUUCAGCGGGGAGGAAGGUGUUGAGGUUAAUAACCUCAGCAAUUGACGUUACCCGCAGAAGAAGCACCGGCUAACUCCGUGCCAGCAGCCGCGGUAAUACGGAGGGUGCAAGCGUUAAUCGGAGUUACUGGGCGUAAAGCGCACGCAGGCGGUCUGUCAAGUCGGAUGUGAAAUCCCCGGGCUCAACCUGGGAACUGCAUUCGAAACUGGCAGGCUAGAGUCUUGUAGAGGGGGGGUAGAAUUCCAGGUGUAGCGGUGAAAUGCGUAGAGAUCUGGAGGAAUACCGGUGGCGAAGGCG